rnacentral:misc_RNA from 1 species
GAUGAAGAACGUAGCGAAAUGCGAUAAGUAAUGUGAAUUGCAGAAUUCAGUGAAUCAUCGAAUCUUUGAACGCACAUUGCGCCCGCCAGUAUUCUGGCGGGCAUGCCUGUUCGAGCGUCAUUUCAACCAUCAAGCCCCCCCGGCUUGUGUUGGGGACCUGCGGCUGCCACAGGCCCUGAAAAGCAGUGGCGGGCUCGCUGUCACACCGAGCGUAGUAGAUCUCAUCUCGCUCAGGGCGUGCUGCGGGUUCCGGCCGUUAAACCACCUUCAUAACCCAAGGUUGACCUCGGAUCAGGUAGGAAGACCCGCUGAACUUAAGCAUAUCAAUAAGCGGAGGA